GACGAACGCUGGCGGCGUGCUUAACACAUGCAAGUCGAACGGAAAGGCCCUGCUUUUGUGGGGUGCUCGAGUGGCGAACGGGUGAGUAACACGUGAGUAACCUGCCCUUGACUUUGGGAUAACUUCAGGAAACUGGGGCUAAUACCGGAUAGGAGCUCCUGCUGCAUGGUGGGGGUUGGAAAGAUUCGGCGGUUGGGGAUGGACUCGCGGCUUAUCAGCUUGUUGGUGGGGUAGUGGAUUACCAAGGCUUUGACGGGUAGCCGGACUGAGAGGGUGACCGGCCACAUUGGGACUGAGAUACGGCCCAGACGGCUACGGGAGGCAGCAGUGGGGAAUAUUGCACAAUGGGCGGAAGCCUGAUGCAGCAACGCCGCGUGCGGGAUGACGGCCUUCGGGUUGUAAACCGCUUUCGCCUGUGACGAAGCGUGAGUGACGGUAAUGGGUAAAGAAGCACCGGCUAACUACGUG
rnacentral:rRNA from 1 species